rfam:Bombyx mori DNA, contig: Bm_scaf12_contig9591, strain: p50T/Dazao, build 2, whole genome shotgun sequence.
UUUACGCAAAUUUGUAUGCAGUUCGAACGUUUGCCUACGUUUGCCGCUAGGGGCGCUGUUCCAGCUCCAUACAAAUUUGAGUUA